rnacentral:rRNA from 1 species
CCGAACACGGAAGUUAAGCUCUUCAGCGCCGAUGGUAGUUGGGGGUUUCCCCCUGUGAGAGUAGGACGUCGCUAGGC